AGUAUGAAUGGCACCACGAAGGUUAUACUGUCUCCUUUUUCUAAUCAGUGAAACUAAUCUUCCCGUGAAGAAGCGGGAAUAAAAAUAUAAGACGAGAAGACCCUAUGGAGCUUUAAACAAAUAUACAAUUGCCUCCUCUAAUAAAAAUUUCAGAAAAGACACUUCUAUUUGGGCACUUUGAUAUAAAGUUUUAGGUUGGGGUGACCACGGAGUAAAAAACAACCUCCGCAGUGAAAGAGGCUUUCCCUCUAAGCCAAGAGCUACAACCCUAAGAAUCAACAAAUUGACACUAAUUGACCCAAUUAAUUGAUCAAUGAACCAAGUUACCCUAGGGAUAACAGCGCAAUCCACUUCAAGAGCCCCUAUCGACAAGUGG
rnacentral:rRNA from 1 species